rnacentral:rRNA from 1 species
GACGAACGCUGGCGGCGUGCUUAACACAUGCAAGUCGAACGGAAAGGCCCUGCUUUUGUGGGGUGCUCGAUUGGCGAACGGGUGAGUAACACGUGAGUAACCUGCCCUUGACUUUGGGAUAACUUCAGGAAACUGGGGCUAAUACCGGAUAGGAGCUCCUGCUGCAUGGUGGGGGUUGGAAAGUUUCGGCGGUUGGGGAUGGACUCGCGGCUUAUCAGCUUGUUGGUGGGGUAGUGGCUUACCAAGGCUUUGACGGGUAGCCGGCCUGAGAGGGUGACCGGCCACAUUGGGACUGAGAUACGGCCCAGACUCCUACGGGAGGCAGCAGUGGGGAAUAUUGCACAAUGGGCGGAAGCCUGAUGCAGCAACGCCGCGUGCGGGAUGACGGCCUUCGGGUUGUAAACCGCUUUCGCCUGUGACGAAGCGGGAGUGACGGUAAUGGGUAAAGAAGCACCGGCUAACUACGUG